rnacentral:rRNA from 1 species
AGAUGACUCUCGACAACGGAUAUCUAGGCCCUUGCAUCAGUGAAGAACGUAGCGAAAUGCGAUACUUGGUGUGAAUUGCAGAAUCUCGUGAACCAUCGAGUCUUUGAACGCAGGUUGCGCCCAGAGCCGUCAGGCCGAGGGCACGCCUGCCUGGGCAUCACGC